rnacentral:rRNA from 1 species
GAUGCCCUUAGUAACGGCGAGCGAACCGGGCAAAGCCCAACUUGAAAAUCUCCAGCCUCCGGCUGGCGAAUUGUAGUCUAGAGAAGCGCUCUCUGCCUCACCCCGGCCCCAAGUCCCCUGGAAAGGGGCGUCAGAGAGGGUGAGAACCCCGUUGGGACCGGAUGCGUGAGGCUCCACGAGACGCUUUCGUAGAGUCGGGUUGUUUGGGAAUGCAGCCCAAAGAAGGUGGUAAAUCCCAUCUAAGGCUAAAUACAGACGGGAGACCGAUAGCGAACAAGUACCGUGAGGGAAAGAUGAAAAGAACUUUGAAAAGAGAGUUAAAAAGUACUUGAAAUUGUUGAGAGGGAAGCGAUUGGAUCCUACGGGUGCGCCCAGGCACACGCCUGCCUAACGGUUGGCUGAAUGCGCUGGGUGCUGGUCAGCAUGGGUUGGCCGGGCGGGAUAAACCCGGGGGUUGUUACCCCGGCUAUGUCGCCUGGCCGACCGAGGAACGAAGGGCGCUCUUUGAGUCCUCCGGGAACUGCGCCCUCAAGAUGCUGGCGGAAAGGUUCUAAUCGGCCCGUCUUGAAACACGGACCAAGGAGUCUAACAUGCAUGCGAGCUGGUGGGUGGCAAACCCAUGAAGCGCAAGUAACCUGACUGGUGGGAUGGCCUGUGCCUGCACCAUCGACCGCGCAUGAUCUUCUGUGAAAGGUUCGGAGUACGAGCAUGCACUGUUGGGACCCGAAAGAUGGUGAACUAUGCCUGAGCAGGGCGAAGCCAGAGGAAACUCUGGUGGAGGCUCGUAGAUGUGCUGACGUGCAAAUCGCUU